rnacentral:misc_RNA from 1 species
GCAACAUUAAGACCGGCUGGGUAGAGAUAGUUGGAUUUGCAUUUGUAGAUCUUAAAAAGUUAUUUAAGAUUGGUAAUUCUUUCCGUUCUGUGUAUUCUGUGUUCCGUAUUUGAAAUCGAUAAGUCGAGAAAAAUAAAUCCAUUGAAAUGGGAGCUGAUCGCAACAGUGAGCCCGAACAGUUUCGGAAACUUUUUAUUGGUGGUCUGAAUUACAAAACCACUGAAGAAACAUUGAAAGGCCACUUUGAACAAUGGGGAGAAAUUGUUGACUGUGUAGUUAUGAGGGAUCCUAAUACUAGAAGAUCCAGAGGAUUUGGUUUCAUUACAUACAAGAAUGCUUAUAUGGUUGAUGAUGCACAAGCAGCUAGACCUCAUAAAGUUGAUGGUCGUGAAGUGGAACCCAAACGAGCUGUUCCAAGAGAAGAUUCUGGAAAACCAGAAGCACAAGUAACUGUAAAGAAGUUAUUUGUGGGUGCUUUAAAGGACGAUAUUGAAGAAGAAGAUUUAAAAAACUAUUUUGGAGAAUAUGGCAAUAUAACAAAUGUUAAUGUUGUAGUGGAUAAAGCUACAGGAAAGAAAAGAGGUUUCGCAUUUGUGGAAUUUGAUGAUUACGAUCCCGUUGACAAAAUAGUGUUAAAAAAACAUAUGAUAAAAGGGAGACGGGCUGAAGUUAAAAAGGCUCUUUCAAGACAAGAAAUGGAUCAUAUUAAAAGAACAAAAGAAAUGAAAUCUUAUGGUGGCGGUGGCAGAGGUGAUUGGAAAUCUGGUGGUAGUGGAUAUGGUGGUAGUUCAUCAGGAGGUUACAAAGGAGGUUAUGGUGGCAGUAGUGGUGGAGGAGGAUAUGGUGGUAGCAGUUACAACAAUGGACCCAGUGCUUGGAGUGAUGGUAUGGGAUAUGCAAAUGACUAUUCAACUUCUGAUUACAUGUCUGGUUCUUCUGCCAGUGGAGGUUGGGGUACUGAUUUUGGAUCAAGUUAUUCGUCCGGUGGGCCAAUACGAAGUUCAAGCGGAUAUUCUAGCAGAAGUUCCGGACCGUAUGGGGGUGGUUAUGGAACUGGUGGUGGUAGUGGAGGAUAUGGAGGCUAUCGUCGAUAAAUGUGCAUUUUUAAAAUCUUGGAAUGUUUUUAUGAAAACCAGCAUGGAGUAACGAAUGAAUUUCUUCUGUUGGAUUCUUGCAUUUCAAGUGAUGGAUAGUGCAAUGUGUGGUAGAGAGAUGUGCUUUUGUUAAAUGGGCCAGGGCUUUGCAAGUCAUAUUUUAUGAAGAUAUCUGAUUCUGAAAAUAAGGGUGUGAAAAGAUGCUAAGUCUCUGAAGUGAUGUGCACAUUGUUCCCUGAAUCAAAGGAUUUUACCUUGGGUUGAUUUACAUGCAAGUUGGGAGCUUGCAUUAAGUUUUUUUUCUUUCAACAAAACUUUUAAAUCUUUCUAUUUUAGUAUUUAUUGCUCUUGUAUUAUUCUUAUGAUACAUAAUAAAAAGAAAAUUGGCAACUA